UAGUAUAGAUAAGUCUAUGUUACGGCCAUAGAGUAGAUGCUGUUUCAUCAUAUACUUU
rnacentral:tRNA from 1 species